rnacentral:rRNA from 1 species
AUGGCCCACAUAUCAGAUAUUAAACUGAUAAGAACAGAUACUACACUUGAUCUUAGCCAAAAGGCCGAGAAAGGUAUGAGUUCUCUUGGUGCGCUGCCUCUCGUUUUAUACACCUCUCCCGGCUCGCUCCGCUCGGCGUGGUUUUUCAUUUUUUCUGAAGGCUGGGAUCGGCGUAGCUGGGCUCUUCGUAACCAAAUCUCCCAAGGCCAAGGCCCAGACCGUAACGCAACGACGACCUUGCUGCGAGUAAACGAUAAAGCCCAAACUACACGCUUUGCGUGGCCUGAAAACAAAGCUACGUCGGAGGAAACGGACCGAAAAGAUGGCUCAACCGGUGGGUACCAUCGAGACCCAGGUAUUGUGCGUCUCGUGUCUUAA